UGUGGAAUGAUUGGAUUCUCCCGUCCAGGGUCUCCAUCUAGGAAAUGAAUUCCCUUAAUUAUCAAAUCUGAAAAGAUUUUGGAAGAGUGAGGUUUAACAAGGAUUUCAAACAUUUGAAAACCAGUGACAAUUCCAUCUAUUCAUUAGGUUGCUUCAGAUUUGUGUCUUUGGCCCUAUUACACUUGCAAAAUUCAUUAGUGUUGGAAUUAUAUAAAACAGAGUCGAUUUAUUAAUUUACAGUGUGUGAUUGCCUAGUGCUGCUGACUGCAAAUGGUAUUCCCUUUCUGCAUAUUUCUCAGGUAACUAAAUUCAGAUCAGAACACUGCUGGGUGAAUAUAUAAUUAGACUCCAAAGGGAGUUGCGAGUCCCCAAGCGACAUUCCUAACAAGCUAUGGCGGUUAACAGAAAUACCUUUCUUCUCUCUGGGGAGAAAGAGUAUUUCUGUUCACCGAUUGUCUGAGAGGAAAUAGCACAGCUGCUAGAGCUGAAUUCGGGAGCUUCUGGCUUUUGUGUUGUGUGUGUUUCACUUCUCAGCACUCCAGCCCCUGCUGAAUUCAGAUACCUGGAUUGCUCACAGCAGAGAAUCAGUCCACAGGAUCCACACAGGUGUCUCCAGGGACAAUGCGGCAGGUGUGCUACAGAUGAGACGCUCACUGUCCAGCUCACACAGGGUCACAGUGUUCUACACACAGCUCUUCCUGGGUGUGUGCAGUAACACACCCAGCCAGCAGUCCAGAGCAUGGGUCCAGGCUCUGCAAGUACUGUCAAAGGAAGAAAUUGAGGUUAGAAACCUUUCACAAGGACUCCCUCUGACUCUGCCCACCAUGAUGACAAUGUGUGUUUGACAGCACCGGUGAAUAAAGGCUGUAUGUUUUGGACGUUUGUUUUAAUAGAUAUUCUAACAUAAUUCAUAGGAGUGCAGCUCCAAGCAUCUCUCAGACUAUUUCAGGCCUGUUUUGGUUAUAGUGUGUAGUUAGUAGAUCAUUUUAAAACUCAUUUUAUAUUUUUUUAAUAUUUAUUUUUUAUUUAUUUGAUAGGCAGAGUUACAGAGAGGCAGAGGCAGAGGCAGAGACAGAGAGAUAGGGCUUCCAUCUGCUGGUUCACUUCCCAAAUGGCCAAAAUGGCUGGAAGCCAAGAGCCAGGAGCUUCUUCUAGGUCUCCCACGUGGAUGCAGGAGCCCAAGCACUUGGGCCAUCUUCUAUUGCUUUCCCAAGCCAUAGCAGAGAGCUGGAUUGGAAGUGGAGCAGCUGGGACCCAAACCGGUGCCCAUAUGGGAUGCUGGCACUGCACACGGUGGCUUAAGGCUGCUUUUCAUAAUCUAAAUUCCUCUUCCUUUACGGGAAGGGGAUAAUUUUAGCACCUGGUAAUUUUUAUUUUUACUUGCUUUCAGAGUUCUUGUUCAUCUCAAACUGUAGGAAAAUUUAGAAUAUUUCUGCCCCCAAAGCCAUUCCGUGACAGUGACUUUAAAAAAAAAAAAAAAAGAGAGUCAGUUGCUGUUAAGAAGCAGAGAUCAACAAUCACAGACUCCCAGGAAUUCUGGGUGGGCGGCUCCUGCUGGGCUGUCAGUUGGAUCUUGCCUAAUCUCAGAACCUUCCUGCUAACUCACGGAAGGCAGACCCCACAGGGAGGCAGUGGGUGUGUGUGUUUAUAAGAAGGUGUGGACAGAACAAAGGGACUCUGGGGAGCAGCCAGUUUGGUGCCAUUGAGGAAUUCGCGUCUUGUGCAGAGUCAGCCUGAAUGAUUUCCUUCCUUCAAGAACUUAACUACUAAUUGUGCGAGCAAAAACAAAUGCAAGGUGACUUUUCCUCCCUGGGCCUGUGUCGGAUCCGGAAGCCUCUUCGCCGCACAGCAGACACCGCUGGGAAGGGACACCGUGUCCUGAGACACCUGUGGGUCACCGCCCGGCCUGAAGCCUGGGAGGGGGAGGCAGGGACUCCAGGGCCGGCCAGAGGAACUGUUGCCACCGCCUGAUUGGCCCGAACGCCUCUCCGGGACCUUGCCAGGCGUUACUGACCCUACAGGGGUUAUCAUACAUGAGAAAGUAAUUGUUUUAAACAGACGACAUGCUGGCAGUGGUGUGUACCUGGGACCAGCCUUCCAGGUUCGCCCCGGCGGGUGCGGCGCUUUCUACGCUGCAGGUUUCGGGGUACAGACCUCGCUCUCAGCCACGUGCGGCUGGGGAGAAUGGGAGGAGAUGCGCCCUCCUGUGGCCGGCAGGAACACUGCAUGGCGCGGGGAGGAAAUGUUUUCCCUGAAAAUAUCCUUGCGCACAGAGGUAAACCAAACAAACCCAAGCGCCUCUGAAGCUCCGCCGCUUUUUCUUCACGUUUCUCGGGAGAGAGGAUGAUGGCCCCUGCAGAAGGCUAAGGGAAACACAGAUUCCUUCCCGGGCUCUCCCCAGAGCCUGCCUGCCACCCACUGUGUAGGGAAGCAGGUUCAUGUCUGAGCUGAGUUCCCGAAUCAAAUCUCUGCUCUUGGACACACUCUUUGAGAGGUCUCUUCCCUGUCCCUUGUGGUCCGCUGGUUCCAGUUGCUUCUCAGCACCGGCUUUUACAGGCAUGCCUCACCCAGCUUUGAUGAUGAAAUGGGAGGUUCCCAUCAUUUGCUUUUCCCUCAUAAGGAAAAUGUUUAGUCAGAAAGAAAACACAUCUAUGAAGGUGCUGCUAAAGGAUGAAUUCUUAAUACAGCUGAAUUUAGUGAAGUCUCUCAAGAUUUAUCAAUGAGUCCUAAGAGCCAGGAUGUCACUGAAGCAAACAGAGAAGGAACCAGGACCUGCCUUCUGCUGCGAGAAACUAAAAACCCUCAGCCUCUUUUCUUCCAAAAGGGGAUGCUGUAGUUAAGGAUAGCAACAGGAUUUUCACUUGUGCUGCACUGUUGACUCCAACAAAAGGACAACUUUGAAUAAUGAGCAGUCCAUCUUCACAGCGGGAGGCUGCUCCCAGGAGGUCCUCCAUGGUGGUGUACUUAAUAAUUAGAAAUAUGAGCAGGGGUUGACCUUCCAAGUUGGGUAUAUUAUUGUUCAUUUUACCUGCUCAGUGGCACAGUGGGUGCUGCCACAGAGACUGUGACUAAAAACCCUGAUCAAGACUUCUCUGCCAAGCCCCAUCAAUAAUCUGUUUGCCAAAUGUGCCUGGGAUGUACAUGGCAUAUGCUUCGAUCCAUGUGGGAAUCUGGAUGUGCUGAGUGAGUUUACAGAAUGUUUGUAGCUUUUUGUAGGGAUGGGACAUAUUGUGAAAUAUGGCAGGAAAGCAACCAGUGUCCUCUGAAAAGGGUGUCUUGCUUUUUUGAGAGACGCAUAACCUGGCUUAUAGAAGGUCCUGCCAACACAGUCCUAUCCAAUGCCAUUGAAUUUUAAACAAUUAUUUCCAUCUUGUAGUGAAAUUAUGCUUUCAGGAAAGAACAUGUGAGCGGAGCGUUUAAAGUGUGACUACACACUGUGGCUCAGGGAAUUCGCAGUAGGUGUCCUUAGCUGAUUUUGUUGCCCCUGUAAAGAUCAAUUUCCAGUUUCCAAGAGCUGAAGGUAUAGGAGGAAUAUCAACAAUCAAUGGUUAAUAAUUUCCAGAGAUCAUUUAAAAUUAUUUAUUUAUUUGAGUGGCAGAGAGAAAGAGAGUUUGCAUCUCCUAGUUUGUUUCCCAAAUGCCCACAAUAGCUGAGGCUGGGCUGGGGCUAAAGCCAGGAGCCAAGAACUUAACACAGGUCUCCCACAUGGAUGGCAGGGACACAAUAACUUGAUCCAUGUCUGCUGUGUCCUAGGGUCUGCAGCUGGAGUCAGGAGCUGGAGCUGGGAGUUGAACCCGGGCACUCCGAUAUGGCACAGGGAUGUCAUAACCACUAGGACAAAUGCCUACUUCCAGAAAUCAUUAUAUGUGUUCCUAUUCUCAGAGGAGCUGAUGGCAUCCACAUCGAAGGGGAGUUACUUCACACACACACACACACAGCCUCUGUUUCCCUGUCUGGCUUCACGCCUGUGCUUGCUUACUGUUUAAUAUAGUAACAUGUGUGAAAGUGCCUAGCACUGGGCCCCCAUACAUGAGAGCUGGCCAUUUCUUCUCCAUUCCUGCUCCUAAACCCUGCAGCUUGGCAGCAGGGAUUUCAGCCCAGAGAAUGCUGAUGAGGCCCUGUGUGCAUCUUGGGUGUAAUUAAUAUUCAUGCUCAGAUAAUGCUUCUCAUUUGAGAAUCUCAUCUUGUACCAGCCAUCAUAUAGUCCAUCAGUCAGAGUCCCAGGAGGUCACUGGCAAAUGUAAAAAUUUGAGGUUGAUGAGGCUAAUCCUGGAGGUAAACACUAGGCUGGCCGGCUUGUGCCCCUCAGUAGACCAGGGACGAAUAGCAAUUAGGGCGAGAGAACUUCGCUGCAAAUGGGCCUGGCAGGACACCGAGAGGAAUAGGUCAGCUUCCCGAGGCAGCCGAGCAACGUCACGUGGGGAGACAGAAGGAAGCCACACUGCCUGCUCUUUGAAGGUUAAUUCUUCCACUUUGCAGUGCAGCCCGCCACCCGCGGAGUCGUGGCAAGGGGGAUCCGCCGGCGUGGGCCAUCUGCUGGGUGUUGAAGCAGACUGCAAAGCGCCUCUCAGAGCGCUACCCUUCUGCUGUCACGCCCGGGGACCAACGGGUCCUUAGUGCUGUCGCCAGCAAGCGCAAGCCUCUCUCCACUGUCUGCGACCUCUCUGCGUGGCCCACGUCAGUGGAGUCACAUGAAUGGAAGUGUCUCUUCUCAGCCAUCUGGUGAUUCAUUCUCCCCUACCCCCUGCCUGCAACAGUGAGCGAGCUGCUCACACGCUGCCAAAUCAAGAGAGGACUGCUGCCUGGGACCUGCCAGACGAGCGUGGCAUAUGCAGAGGCCCUCGCUAUGCGUGCCUGCCCUGAGUCACGGCUGACCUGAAACAAACAAAAACAAGUCCCACAAAAUGAACACAUUAGUUAAUUAAAGGGUGGCCAUAACUACUACAAACUGCAUGACUUAAAACUACAUACAUGGGGGCUGGCGCUGUGGUGUAGCGGGUAAAGCUGCCACCUGCAGUGCCACUAUCCCCUAUGGGCACGGGUUCAAGUCCCAGCUGCUCCACUUCUGAUCCAGCUCUCUUCUGUGGCCUGGGAAAGCAGUAGAAGAUGACCCAAGUCCUUGAGAUCCUGCACCUGCAUGGAAACCUGGAAGAAGGUCCUGGAUCCUGGCUUCAGAUCGGCACAGCUCUGGCCAUUGGGCUGAUUGGGAAGUGAACCAGUGGAUGGAAGACUCUCUCUCUCUCUACCUCUCCUUCUCUCUCUGUGUAACUCUUUCAAAUAAAUAAAUCUUUAAAAAAACCGACAUACAUUUAUUCUCUUA